rnacentral:rRNA from 1 species
UGGCUCAGGAUGAACGCUAGCGGCAGGCCUAACACAUGCAAGUCGAGGGGUAACAUUGGUGCUUGCACCAGAUGACGACCGGCGCACGGGUGCGUAACGCGUAUACAAUCUACCUUUUGCUAAGGGAUAGCCCAGAGAAAUUUGGAUUAAUACCUUAUAGUAUGCAGACUUCUCAUGGAGAUUGCAUUAAAGAUUACGGCAAAAGAUGAGUAUGCGUCCUAUUAGUUUGUUGGUGUGGUAACGGCACACCAAGACUACGAUAGGUAGGGGCCCUGAGAGGGGGAUCCCCCACACUGGUACUGAGACACGGACCAGACUCCUACGGGAGGCAGCAGUGAGGAAUAUUGGACAAUGGAGG